AUGAUUGAAUUAACCAUGCCUUUUUCUUUUGGAUUCAAUUUUUUCUCUAUCCUGUCAUCUCAUAUUGUUGUGCUCACCAUGGAUUGUAUCCUUUCCCUUACCACGUACAAUUUUUGGAUGGCUCAUGUAGAUCAGGUCAGAGUAGACAAAUUAUACCCAUCAGCGCUGGUCAAGAUUCUCCCACUCCAUGCCAACGUUGUUUCUGGUCUGUUGCUAUUAUUGCUCCAUUGGCUAGAUCAAAUAUAUUUCUUGUAUAGUGCAACUACAAUGAGUGGAUUAUUGUUUUUACUCUCUUUUCUCAAAUUAAUAUUGGUGGAUCUGGCAGCAGCUUCCCUCGACACUAACCAAGUGUAUAACUUUUAAAACAGUGGUGUGCGACAUGAAGAUGCAAUAAAACCCAAUUAAUGGAGGAGGUGAUUUGCCAACACAAACAUGUUAUUUCUCUAAGGGCGGCCAGUUGAUUGGUGAGCCCAUAAAUUGCUGUCUAUGGUUGUCUCUAGUUAGCAAAAAUGAUUUCCCCGAGCUAGCAUCAUUGUUGAACAGAGUGCAGUUGGAAACCGAGUUGAAGCAGAACUAUGGAGCAGAGCUAUGCAUGUCAUCAGGUCACCAUGUCGCAAAUAUGUUGCCUAAUGCAUCGGAGGCUCAUUUUAGACUUGGCCAUUUUCUCUCAAAAAAAAAAUUUCAAUCAGACAGUUGUACUACAGAAUUUGCACUGCUUACAAGCAAGGAUUAACCUUCACGUCAGUCCAUGCAUGUUAACUUUGUAAGUUAAUUUAGGUUAAAUUUGUGAUGAAUGCAUGCCCGGUUUAAAGUGAAGACGACUAUUGUCAACA